rnacentral:rRNA from 1 species
AGUGGCGGACGGGUGAGUAACGCGUGGAUAAUUUGCCUCAUACAGGGGGAUAACAGUUAGAAAUGACUGCUAAUACCGCAUAAGCGCACGGUACCGCAUGGUACAGUGUGAAAAACUCCGGUGGUAUGAGAUGGAUCCGCGUCUGAUUAGCUAGUUGGCGGGGUAACGGCCCACCAAGGCGACGAUCAGUAGCCGACCUGAGAGGGUGACCGGCCACAUUGGGACUGAGACACGGCCCAAACUCCUACGGGAGGCAGCAGUGGGGAAUAUUGCACAAUGGGGGAAACCCUGAUGCAGCGACGCCGCGUGAGUGUAGAAGUAUUUCGGUAUGUAAAGCUCUAUCAGCAGGGAAGAAAAUGACGGUACCUGACUAAGAAGCCCCGGCUAACUACGUGCCAGCAGCCGCGGUAAUACGUAGGUGGCAAGCGUUGUCCGGAAUUACUGGGUGUAAAGGGCGCGUAGACGGGCAAAUAAGUCAGAUGUGAAAUACCGGGGCUCAACUCCGGGGCUGCAUUUGAAACUAUUUGUCUUGAGUGCAGGAGAGGGAAGCGGAAUUCCUAGUGUAGCGGUAAAAUGCGUAGAUAUUAGGAGGAACACCAGUGGCGAAGGCGGCUUUCUGGACUGUAACUGACGUUGAGGCGCGAAAGCGUGGGUAGCAAACAGGAUUAGAUACCCUGGUAGUCCACGCUGUAAACGAUGAUUACUAGGUGUGGGAGGUAUCGACUCCUUCCGUGCCGGAGUUAACACAAUAAGUAAUCCACCUGGGGAGUACGACCGCAAGGUUGAAACUCAAAGGAAUUGACGGGGGCCCGCACAAGCAGUGGAUUAUGUGGUUUAAUUCGACGCAACGCGAAGAACCUUACCAGGACUUGACAUCCUACUAACGAAGCAGAGAUGCAUUAGGUGCCCUUCGGGGAAAGUAGAGACAGGUGGUGCAUGGUUGUCGUCAGCUCGUGUCGUGAGAUGUUGGGUUAAGUCCCGCAACGAGCGCAACCCCUAUUGUUAGUUGCUACGCAAGAGCACUCUAGCGAGACUGCCGUUGACAAAACGGAGGAAGGCGGGGACGACGUCAAAUCAUCAUGCCCCUUAUGUCCUGGGCUACACACGUAAUACAAUGGCCGUCAACAAAGGGAAGCAAAGCCGCGAGGUGGAGCAAACCCCCAAAAACGGUCUCAGUUCGGAUUGCAGGCUGCAACUCGCCUGCAUGAAGCUGGAAUUGCUAGUAAUCGCGGAUCAGCAUGCCGCGGUGAAUACGUUCCCGGGCCUUG